GACGAACGCUGGCGGCGUGCCUAAUACAUGCAAGUAGAACGCUGAAGGAGGAGCUUGCUCUUCUGGAUGAGUUGCGAACGGGUGAGUAACGCGUAGGUAACCUGCCUGGUAGCGGGGGAUAACUAUUGGAAACGAUAGCUAAUACCGCAUAACAGUAGAUGUUGCAUGACAUUUGCUUAAAAGGUGCAAUUGCACCACUACCAGAUGGACCUGCGUUGUAUUAGCUAGUUGGUGGGGUAACGGCUCACCAAGGCGACGAUACAUAGCCGACCUGAGAGGGUGAUCGGCCACACUGGGACUGAGACACGGCCCAGACUCCUACGGGAGGGAGCAGUAGGGAAUCUUCGGCAAUGGACGGAAGUCUGACCGAGCAACGACGCGUGAGUGAAGAAGGUUUUCGGAUCGUAAAGCUCUGUUGUAAGAGAAGAACGAGUGUGAGAGUGGAAAGUUCACACUGUGACGGUAUCUUACCAGAAAGGGACGGCUAACUACGUG
rnacentral:rRNA from 1 species